GUGCUCACUUCAGCAGCACAUAGACUAAAAUUGGAGCAGUACAGAGUAGAUUAGCACGGCCCCUGUGCAAGGAUGACACCCAAAUUCGUGAAGCAUUCCAUAUUUUU
ensembl:snRNA LOC120097306 U6 spliceosomal RNA